AGAGUUUGAUCCUGGCUCAGGACGAACGCUGGCGGCGUGCCUAAUACAUGCAAGUCGAGCGAGCUUGCCUAGAUGAAUUUGGUGCUUGCACCAAAUGAAACUAGAUACAAGCGAGCGGCGGACGGGUGAGUAACACGUGGGUAACCUGCCCAAGAGACUGGGAUAACACCUGGAAACAGAUGCUAAUACCGGAUAACAACACUAGACGCAUGUCUAGAGUUUAAAAGAUGGUUCUGCUAUCACUCUUGGAUGGACCUGCGGUGCAUUAGCUAGUUGGUAAGGUAACGGCUUACCAAGGCAAUGAUGCAUAGCCGAGUUGAGAGACUGAUCGGCCACAUUGGGACUGAGACACGGCCCAAACUCCUACGGGAGGCAGCAGUAGGGAAUCUUCCACAAUGGACGCAAGUCUGAUGGAGCAACGCCGCGUGAGUGAAGAAGGGUUUCGGCUCGUAAAGCUCUGUUGGUGGUGAAGAAAGAUAGAGGUAGUAACUGGCCUUUAUUUGACGGUAAUUACUUAGAAAGUCACGGCUAACUACGUGCC
rnacentral:rRNA from 1 species